GGCCUGGUGGUCUAGUAGUAUGAUUCCUUCUUAGGGUAUCCCUUGCAGAUAUGGGUAGUAUGGAGGAGGUCCCGGGUUCAAUUCCCGGCCAGGCCC